rnacentral:lncRNA from 1 species
CCUAAAUCACAACAUUUUCUCUCUUCUUUUCUCUUCGCCGUCUCCGAUCUCGCUGUGUGUCGAUCUGCUCCAUCGUCGAAAUCUGGAACUCGCCAUCUUUUUCUUCUUUCUUCUUCUUUCUUAUUCUUCUUCUUCUUCUUCUUCGAUUCGCCGAUCUUGUCGUUGUUGAAUCUGGGCAAAUUGUUGUUGCAAUAAUUGGGAAGCAAUCAGUCAAGUUUAGGCUCAUGUUUAUCAACCGAUGGCUUGUAAGUAUCGUCCUCUUUAAACUUGUAGGGCAUAGAUCUCGCUGGAAUUUGUUGACUUUUCUAGGAAUUGAACUGGCUGUUGGAAGGAAUCUUCCUACUGUUGAUAUUUGUCACGUUAAGAGGCUUAAUUUGUUCAAAUCUGUUAGGUUUGUGGUUUAGAAUCUGUAAGCUUUUGAGAAACUUGACUCUAUCAAUGGCUCAUGUGAAAUUACAUUUGAUAAGAGAAAGGGUUACGUCUUCCCUGGUUUUAAAAAGAUUGUUUUUGGCUGAGAUACCUAUGUUCUAUUGUGUCAUUUCCAAUAAGAAUUUUAGUUGAAACUCCUUUUGUGUUCUGCUCUUAUAAUUGUUCUCCUGAUUUCGUUAUCUUGACAUAAUUGAGUUCAUGUGUGGUUAAGAAGGUACACAGUUUGAUACAUCGUGAUGUGUUGGUCGUUGUUGUUUAACUAGUCUUCAUUUAUUAGCGUUAUUGGAUGUGAUCUUGCCGAUGCUACGAUUCAGUUAGUUCCGUCAUAGUUAUAAUCUCGUUGGUCCCCAUGGCUAUUGGUUUUCAGGUUUUUACAUGUGAUUUUGCAUAUAAGAUUAAACUGAUUUUGACUGCACAAUGCAUAUAGUAGUUAUGCAUAAUCAAAUUAUAAUAGCUCAGUUUGCUGAUACUAACAUGUUCAUUGACUUUCACUUACGUGUGUCUUAGGUUUUGGGAGUGAGUGAGUAAUGAGUAUCGGUGGAGUGAGCUAACUUGUCUAGCUAUAAUUUGUUCGUUGUUUGUUCUACAUUGCAUCACAGUUGGUUUUUUGAAAAACUUUUGAUUAGUGGAAUGCUAUGAUGGAACUUAGGUUGUAUGAGACUAGUUGAUUACCUUUUAUGUAUCUUCAUUCCCAACUUCCACGUCAUCGUGAGUCUUCACACGUCUUAGAAGAGGAAUUGAAUUGUUUGUUUCGUGUUGAUGUUGAUAGGAUGGAAUUGACGAAGCUGAAGAUCCAAGAGCUGCAGUCAUGAGAGAGCUUGAAGAAGGACUGAAGUUCAUGAUUAUAAUACUCAUCCAUAUUUGUAAAAUGCAAGACCAAGUCUUUGUGUGUGUGUAUUGAUCAUAAUAUAUUAACUAGUGGAACGUAACCGCCUGUUGUAACAUAAAAAAUAACAGUGUCUACAUAUAUGAGAGCUUGCACGUACUAUAACGUAAAUUCAUGUAUUUAUAAGGUUAUAAUAAUGUUU